AUAAUGGACAAUGGGGGCAACCCUGAUCCAGCCAUGCCGCGUGUGUGAAGAAGUUCUUCGGAUUGUAAAGCACUUUAAGUUGGGAGGAAGGGGUUUAGGUUAAUACCCUGAAGUUUUGACGUUACCAACAGAGUAGGGACCGGCUAACUCUGUGCCAGCAGCCGCGGUAAUACAGAGGGUGCAAGCGUUAAUCGGAAUUACUGGGCGUAAAGCGGCCGUAGGUGGUUCAGUAAGAUGGGUGUGAAGUCCCCGGGCUUAACCUGGGAACUGCUUUCAUAACUGCUGAGCUAGAGUACGGUAGAGGGUAGUGGAAUUUCCUGUGUAGCGGUGAAAUGCGUAGAUAUAGGAAGGAACACCAGUGGCGAAGGCGACUACCUGGACUGAUACUGACACUGAGGUGCGAAAGCGUGGGGAGCAAAC
rnacentral:rRNA from 1 species